rnacentral:lncRNA from 1 species
UAAAAUCAGGAAUAGGUUUUUUGAACGUUGGUCAAACAAUCGAUUGUCUACUCCAAACAAUCGAUUGUCUGAGCAGAGAAUCAGGGAUUUUAUUUAUCAAUUAAGCAACGGUCAGCACCACUUUUUCACCUAUAAAAAGAGGUCUUUUGAGCUGAUUUUAAAAAUACAACUCCUGCAUAUAUUGAUAUACAUAUUGAUCAUUUUCAAGCAUCAUUUUAGAGCUUUUGUUGAGCCAUUAGAUAGACAACUUUGUGUUGUUCAUAGAGCUUAUUGUGUAUCUCUUUAUCCACUCUAUUGAGAGAGUAUUUGUUGUAAA